GGGACGCUGCAAGUGCUAUGACUGCGAGAACAACGAUGAUUGGCUGGUAAGAUAUUCGUUAGAGGGCACUGCAUUCAUGAACACCGUGCUGCUCUGGUGUUUGCCAAGAACCUGAAACAAAUAUGUUGCACUUAUUCCAGGCCGACGAGGAUUACGUGGAGUGCGCGUGCAAAACCAAAAACUGCAAAACUGGAGCCUGCGGUUGCAACAAGGUGCACGGUCCUUCCUUCCUGUGUAUUCGUGUCAGCAUUAUCUCCUUUGCAAAAGACUAGACAUGCUUAUUCUUUCUCUGAUCCUGACUGAGGCUAGUUGGUUCUUGUUUUGAAGAAACUGAAAGGGUGUAUGCAUCGGGUGUGAUAAUGGCUACGGGAUGAAAGAGGGUGUGUGCAUGACACUUUCUUCUUUUAUGUGUGUUGUUUCAUUCGUAGCUUGGAUAAUCAUGCUAGUGUAUAUCUCUGUUGCUCUGCAUGUACAAAGCAGCUGAUAAGUCCAAUGCUGGACCGGGAGGUACGGGUGGCACAAGUGACGCCGGAGGCUCAGGUUCCAACAAGCAAAUAAGAAUCGGGGUAAGUUUGUGCUUCCACUUGCGUAGUUUGUUGAGAGAAAUCAUAGGUUAAUUAUGUGUGUGUCUGCCCCAAUCUGUUCAGGGAUAAGCAACUAAUCCAGGUGAUGUGCUCCUUUUGUGCAGUGAUGACAGUAGGCUUGAGACAUACCAGAGCAUGAUGCAAGUCACCUUACUUUCUUACCAUCCUCAAGUCACCUCCUGUUGAGAUAUCUCCCACUGUAAAGCACAGCCAGGUUCCUGUAGAUUCCUUGUAAUGGUUGGUUACUCGAAGCAAGCACGGCGAAAACUCCAUGUUCCUCAGCCCUCAGGGGGCUCCAGUGGACCUAGAUUGAUCAGGCUGAUACACUUUAGAACAUAUAUAUACUUCUGAGUCGCAUAAGAAUAGUUGCCGUCAUCGGUUAUGCUGCCCGGAAAUGGGUGCUUCAGUUCGUUCUUAUACAUGCACAGUCUUGCAAAGGAUUUCUCUUAUACUUGAAGAGGAUUCUGGUAGUAUGAA
rnacentral:lncRNA from 1 species